CACGUAGGUGGCAUUGUAAGUCAAAGGUGAAAGCCCUCGGCUCAACCGAGGAAUUGCCUUUGAAACUGCUUUGCUUGAGUCCGGGAGGGGGGAGCGGAAUUCCCAGUGUAGCGGUGAAAUGCGUAGAUACUGGGAGGAACACCGGUGGCGAAGGCGGCUCCCCGGACCGGUACUGACACUGAGGUGCGAAAGCGUGGGUAGCAAACA
rnacentral:rRNA from 1 species